GAGAGAGAGAGAGAGAGAGGCACAUAUUUACAAAUCAGCACAACUCAAGACCUGCUGUCCUUCAGCAUGUUCAGGAUAUCGUCUCGAAACGUAUCUCUGUUCUUCUCCAGGAUGCCUCUCACAUCAUACAACACCUGAAAACACAGCAAACAAGAAACGAGAUAAAACUGUAGCUCAAGUGGUUAAGGCUCUGGGCUGAUGACCAGAAGAUUGGGAUUCAAGCUCCAGCACCGCCACCAUUGGGCCCUUGAGCAAGGCCCCCAACCCACCCUGCUCCAGGGGUGCUGCAUCAUGGCUGACCCUACGCUCUGACCUCAACCCCCAAGGAUGGGAUAUGAGAAGAAAGAAUUUCACUCUGCAGUAACGUGUAUGUGACAAAAUAAA